rnacentral:rRNA from 1 species
CCUACGGGAGGCAGCAGUGGGGAAUAUUGGACAAUGGGGGGAACCCUGAUCCAGCGACGCCGCGUGAGUGAAGAAGUAUCUCGGUAUGUAAAGCUCUAUCAGCAGGGAAGAAAGACAUGACGGUACCUGACUAAGAAGCCCCGGCUAACUACGUGCCAGCAGCCGCGGUAAUACGUAGGGGGCAAGCGUUAUCCGGAUUUACUGGGUGUAAAGGGAGCGUAGACGGCGAUGCAAGUCUGAAGUGAAAGGCGGGGGCCCAACCCCCGUACUGCUUUGGAAACUGUGCAGCUGGAGUGCAGGGGAGGUAAGCGGAAUUCCUAGUGUAGCGGUGAAAUGCGUAGAUAUUAGGAGGAACACCAGUGGCGAAGGCGGCUUACUGGACUGUAACUGACGUUGAGGCUCGAAAGCGUGGGGAGCAAACAGGAUUAGAUACCCUGGUAGUC